GAAUUCAACUCCUACGGGAGGCAGCAGUGGGGAAUAUUGGACAAUGGGCGCAAGCCUGAUCCAGCCAUGCCGCGUGAGUGAAGAAGGCCUUCGGGUUGUAAAGCUCUUUCAGAGGUGACGAUGAUGACGGUAACCUCAGAAGAAGCCCCGGCUAACUUCGUGCCAGCAGCCGCGGUAAUACGAAGGGGGCUAGCGUUGUUCGGAAUUACUGGGCGUAAAGCGCGCGUAGGCGGUGUGCAUAGUCAGGGGUGAAAUCCCGGGGCUCAACCUCGGAAUUGCCUUUGAUACUGGCACGCUUGAAUCCGUGAGAGGGUGGUGGAAUGGCCAGUGUAGAGGUGAAAUUCGUAGAUAUUGGCCGGAACACCAGUGGCGAAGGCGGCCACCUGGCGCGGUAUUGACGCUGAGGCGCGAAAGCGUGGGGAGCAAACAGGAUUAGAUACCCUAGUAGUCCAGGCGUU
rnacentral:rRNA from 1 species